AAGGACAUUUCUUUCGCAGUGAAACUCCAGCUGAUUUCAUCAUCAUCAUUGAUUGGAAUAUCAUUGUUUUCAAAUGUUUCAAUAUAUGUAGGUAUAGCUGUGUUCUGUUUGUGUUGCUUUCUGUUCUUUUUGUUGUUUUUCUUGUUAAAAACGCUUUGCUUGUUCGAGUAAAAUUUCUGACAGAGCCACCCGCCCAACAGUAGUCAUUUUCUUGGUCUUCUCUCCUCUGGUCCUAUCUAAAAUCUUUUCACACUAAAUCACAUUCCACAACGGUAAGCCAGCAUCAUCGGUUGCGCUUUUCCUAGCUAUAUUCUCUGUUGUGCUAUUCUCUUCGAUUAAAACUUCCCAUAACAUUUGAAUGGUGUGUACAAGUCUUUGUUGCUUUUUGCUUCUUUUGAAAAUCCCCAAUUAAAACCACUACUACGUGCGCUUCCAAUUCACUCAUACGACACCCACACACAAAUCGGUUCAAUCGUUAUUUUGAGCGAAAACUAAAACUUCUUUUUCUUUGUCAACUGCAAAUUGCUAUUCUUGAAUUCAAGUGAUUUUCCACCGUCGAUUUGUUCAAGUUCGUUUUAAGGUGAAACGGGACGCCGUGUUAUUUUUCCUAUCUUGCCUCUCUUUCUAACAAUUUGCCUCGCGAUUUUGAAGAUGGUAAUCUCGAGUUCUAUCGCACUGAAGAUGCUGAAAAACAAUCAGCAUAUGCACUGCAAGUGAGCAUACACAGUGAUAGGUUUUUGUUGCAAAAUAUGAAGUAGAAUCUGAGAUUACCAUCUUAGUAGCAACAGAGCAAUGGCGGAUAUUUCCCCGACCGUCCCGUCCGCCCUUAAACGGUGUACUGCACACGAAUCAGUAACGUUUCCGUGGUUGCUUUGAUUGGCUUUGAGUGUGAGGACUGAGGAGCUCCUUGUUUAUGUUUACAAUUUUUUAAAGUUAGAGGACUGAUUGUUGUUGAUAUCUUGUUCGGAUUUAAUAUGCUUGGCAAUAUAAUAAACCAUGAUUGAUCUGGAACACGAUUAACAUUUAUUCAGUGUCUAAAAAUGAAAGUCUUGCGUGAUUUCUUUGCAAUGUGAAUGCGAAUGUGCUUUUGUGGGGGCAAAUCAAACUGUUUCAACGCCUGGUAUGAGUGUGUUUGUGAUGGCGAAUUGUACUCGUGUAUUCUCUAUUCAGUGUAUGUGUGAGUGAGUUCAGUGUGAAGGUGUUCAAUUUAACUUAGAAAUUGCUCUGCUCUGUCCGUAGAAAUCCAUUUACAGUUGUAACAGUAUUUAUCUAAUAUAUGACCAAGACACUCAUACAUACAAGUAUAGUUGUAUAACAAUAUCGGUCUUCCGACUAAUUUGGUACUGGAUUUUGUUUCAGUGUAUAUCAAUAUGUAAGUAUGCUUUGCGAAUUGUUUCUCAUUUGAUGUAUAUAAUCUCAAUAUCGAUUUAUAGUUGGUUAAACAGAUGCUAAGCGUGAUUCAAUUUCAUUUAACACCUAUACAAAAUGAUAAUCACGGUUGAAAUUUGUUCGUAAACUACUACAUAUAAAACGGAGGCGUUAUAUUUUCAGUGUAGGCCCUCCCACUUCUCCUCUCUGAAUGGUUGGUGAUGUGCGAAUGUAUUGCGUGAGAACAACAUUCAAAACAGGUCUGUGCGAUAGCGAGCGAGCCCAUGCACAUGCAUUGCACAUUUACACAUGUAUUGGUGCGAUAGCGACGACGACGCGAGCACGAUCCAUUCAAGGCUUACUUUGAUAUGCUUUUUUCUUCUGAAUUCCUACACGCACAUGGAAUGAACUUAAAAACUACACGUUGACAGAUGAUGCGGUUUAUCAUUCUACUAGUGACACGGGAAGGCGCUUCUACAUAACGGUGCAAAAAAAAACCAAAUCUUUUUGUUUGUUUUGAGAAUUUUCGUCCCGGCUUCGACAGUUUAGUUAAAAUGGAAACCGCGUAAUGACACUUAAAGCGUCUGUUCAGAUGACACUUAAAUACGAAACAGGGCAAGUGGGAAUUGGCAAGAUCUCAAGUUUCCAUCCCUGUAACGAUGGUAGUGCUGUGCUGUCUUCCGCCAUCCGUCACUAGUGAGUUUUAGUUAGUGUGUGUGUGUGUAUAAUGCUUUACCGCGAGCACAAAUAUCAUUGGCACGAGUUUUCUUCUCUUUCUCAGUGUGUUAGAGUUAACAUUCUAGUAGCUUUUAGUCCCAUUGUUUUGUUGUUUGUUACAGUUACUGCUAUUCACGUUGCUAUUAUCAAUGUUUCAGCUUAAUAUCGGAGAUCGGAAGUUCAAAAGAAAUCAAUCGAUGCACUUGCUGUAGAGCUCGUAUGCAAUACAAUAGAGGACCAAAACUACACCUAAAAGAUCGGAAUAAAAAACUUGUUUUUUUUUCAAAAUUUUUCUUAUUGUUCGUUCUAUUGUGCAUUCUUGAUGUUUUUACUUAGUUGAUGUGUCCGUUGUUUUAAAAAGAGGAAAGUUAAGUUAGAACCAAUGGAAUUCCUUAGUGUGUGUGUGUUUGUUUGUUGUUCAAAGAUUUAUUCUUUCAAGAGAAGGCACAUAAAGUACAUUGUUGUUAAAAUUCCUUUCGUCGAAAAACUUCCGAGUAGAUUUGUUAGUUCUUUCGCUUUGCGCUCGUGUUUUUUUCUUAGCAAAAUACAGUUUAGUAUGCCUUCGAGUUUGUUUUUCUUCUUAGGAAUCGUCUUUAGACAUAACGUUGCCCUAUUACUGGAAAAUAUAUUUAUGUUUGUGUGUAUUCGAAUAAUUACAAAUAUCUUAAAGUUCUACUAACGCUAUUACUGUGUUCUCUUUUGUUUUAAUUCUCUUAAUGGCAAGAAUGGAAAUCUAUAAACAAUAGGUAAUAAAAAUUACACCACAUGUUUUUUGUUUGUUUGCUUCUUUUGUAAAUUGGAGGAGAAGGAUUAUCGGCUUUACUAAAGACAGUUCAUGGUUGACACAUUCGGGAGGAGUGAUCGUUUUCUACUACGAGUUCAUUUGCUUAACCCUAAAAGGGAUACCUGGGGUCCAUUGGACCCCAGGCGCCUUUCAGAGCUCGUCUUUGAUGGAACACACUCAGCGAGGUGACGAAACUGAGGCCAUGAAGGUAUCCCUUUUAGGGUUAAUAAUUCUAUGGAUCUGAUCGUGGUUCAUGAGGUCAGUAGUGAAAAAUAUAUUCCAAUGUAAAUCAUUGAUGGAUGUUGUUGGACUUAAGCUAGUUUACGUAACAUUCAUUUUGCUAGAGAAAUGAUAGGGCAUAUAGUCGUGGCAACUAGACUUACACAAAACGUGUUGCCAUCAAUAACAAUUCAACUGUUUGAAUUUAAAAAAAAGGUCGCUCUUAUACUAACUUUAGAUUGAUUUAAAAGUUUGUUCCCGGGUACACAAAAUUAGGAUAAUUUGGGAUUCGGCGCAGAUUUGCAUACAGUUUUUCACAGCUGAACUUUCUAGCUAGAUAAGUUUUGCAGCAUCAGACUGCAUAACGUCCCCAGGAGCAGCUUAAACAACUUUCAAAAGAAAACUCUGAUAAUCGAAUCACCCGGAUAUUCAUUUAGCAGUAUUUUUUCUUUUUUUGCCAUCUAGUUUUUAAGUGUAAAGACAAGGAAUGUCGAAAGAACUCCUCGAUUAUUUUCAGAACUAAUCAUUGAGGAAUUCUCAGAAGAAAAAACUUCUGGAGGAUUCCCAGAAGGAGCUUUCGGAGGAGUUACUGAAGGAAUUCUGAGAACAAUCCCAGUAGAAAAUCUUAAAGAAAUUUGGCCGUAGCACAACACAAACUUUUGGAAGAAUGAAGCAACGGAUAUCCAGCUGGAAUUCCAAAAAGAAAUUCUGGAAGAUUUCCAGAAGAAACUUUUAAUCUUCCCGGAUUCUAGGAUCUUGCGACCUUCUAAUUCUUACUAAUCCCUCCAUGAUUUAGGGAAAAAAAACUGGGAAAGGGAGUGGACCUGUAGUGAUGGUUAAAGUACGUGACUAUCACGCCGAGGACCUGGGAUUGAAUCCCACUCCCGACAGACUCGCAAAAAUGUGAGUUCUUCCUUCGGAAGAGAAGUAAAGCGUGGGUCCCGAGAUGAACUAGCAUUGGGCUCAAAAUCUCGUUGAUAGAGAGAAAAAAACCUGGGUAAUCCCAAAAGGAAAAUCAUGUGAAAACACCAUACAACAGAAGCUCUUGAAGGAAUCCAAGAAUAUGGUUAUGGGUGAAUUCCAGAAGGAUAUGCACUAGAAUGGGUCAUCGGAACCUUUUUCUGAGCAUAAGGCUUUUUCUGGUUCCAUUAUGGGUCCUGCACAACUGUUUAAAAUUAGAACAUGAUCGAUUGCAUCUACAGUUUGGCGUAUUGCAUGCAGGAUUCCAGGAAGUAAUUUCUGGAAGAUUCACAGAAGGAACUUUUGGAGAUAUCCUUAACCAAUUCCUGAAGUUUUGCAGGAGAAACUCCUGCUGGAUUCCCUGAUUAAAAUUUCCAGAAGUAACCCUCAGAGGAUUCUCAUAAUGAACUUCUCGAUGAUUCCCAGAAAGUACUCCUGGAAAUCUCAGAUGGAACUCUUGAAGAAAUCCAAGAAUUAAGUCAUAGAUGAAUUCCGGAAGGAACUCCUGUAGGAUUCCCAAAAAAGGGCUUGUCCAUAAACUUCGUCAACUUCUCGGGGGAAAGGAAAGGGUCUGGAUGAAGUCUAUGGUCCUUACAAGUUUCGAAAGAAGGGGGCCUGAGAGGAAACCCCAAGGGAAAACCUAAAAUUAGUUCUGGAGAAAUGUCCAAAGUUCCACAAUUUAAUUCCAUGAGGUUUCUAGAUUACCAGCAGAAACUACUGCAGAAAUCCAAAAAGUGAUUUCUGGAGAAAUCUCAAAAGAAAUUGAAGGUGAAAUUCCUGGUGUAACUUGCGGCAAUUUAAGAAGAUACAUAUGGGUGUAUUCCAAAAGGAACCUUUGCAGGAAUCUCAGAAAAGCUUCUCAACGUACUGCAAGUGAUAACCAAGCAGAUACGUACAAGAUUACCUAUACGAAUGGUCGAAACAUUCUUGGUAGAAUCCCUGAACAAAGACUUCUGGCCAACUGUCAACUGCUAACUGUUUGCCAACUGUCGCCGCAGCCUUACAAUCUUCUUGCAUGCCUCGGAUAUCGCAAUGUUUUCAGCUUUCAUAGAAACCUUCCGCGGAAACGUUCGCCAGCUUCCUGCUAGUCCAGGACACCGUUGCCUGUCCAACUUGAUACACAUACCCUUUUCUGUCUGAGCUAUCGCUAGUUCUGUGCGCAUGGCAGUAACCGGUCAGUAAUAUCGGUCCUGCUCUGUUCGUCGACAACUUGUGAUGGCUUGUACUCAGAAGGUACCUGACGACUUGCAAGUAGCAUAUCGUCAACAUAUAUAAACUAGACUCGCUCCCCGUUCUGCAAAUUUUUCACAUACAGGCAUGGGUCAAAAUGUGACGCCUGACAGCCCAACUCCUUUGACGGUCUCGUUUUCGUUCCACACUUUCGUCGCCUUCAUCCUAGCUUACAAAAAAUGUCUCCUAUCCCGGCUCUAUGAACUCCUUCGUCCUUCGGAUAAUUCGUUUGUGGUCCACCAAGCUGAGCAGAAUUUGCAAGUCUUUACCAGGGCAUUGCGAGAACCACUGUACUAGACGGGCCACGUUACCGAACCGAUCCUACUUUUUUCUGAAUACCUACAUUCAUCCUAUGAGGCUUUUUCCGCCCAAUUCACAAAUUUCCACACUCUGCGAUGUGCGAGUCUUGUUCCUUUUUCAUAGCGACCUACUACUAUAUUUUCUCGGAACUUCUGACAUAUAGCGUCCUCAUACACACUUAAAACUGAUUCACGAGCUCGGCUGAAAUAUUUGCUUCAUAACGGCAAUUCAAAAUUUUGCUGACAUUUCGGCAAACAAAAUGUUUUUGCCGAGAUUGUUCAAAAUAUUUUACCGAAAUAACAGGAAACUGCUUGAAAAAUUGUAAAAGUGACAGCAUUUUUUGCUGAUUCUGGCAGUGAUCACGGAUUUUGCCGAAAUCAGUAAACGAGAUUACCGAGAUAUCAGCAAUCAAGUCAUCCUUUGCUGAGUUUCAGUAAUACAACUGUCAUUUUUGCAGCCACCAUGUUUUGGCAAAAAAAAAACAAAUCAGUGGUGGUGUGUGGUGCUGAAGGCACAUGAAGUGCAUUCUUAAACGAAGUCCAAAUGUGUAAGAAUUAAAGACACUCUGUAAGUAAACUAUUGCUAAUUUGCUUCAUAUUCAAUUUAUUCUAGAAUCGCAGUAACGCCUAUGUGUAGCUGUUCGUCAAGGAGCAGUCUUUGAGGAGUAACCAAUCUCGAAAUGAAAGAAGGAACCCUGAGAUGAAUGAUUGUAUGCGGCAACAAAUUCUAUAUUUUUAAUAUUUUUAUGGACCAAUAAAUGUUCGAGAAUACAAUUUCUUUAUUGUGGUUUCAUACGGAAUAAGACUAGGCUAAGAACUCAUAAUUUUAUUUUUUUUACACGCAAAAACGGCUACGCUCAAAAAUGUGUUCGGCCUGCACAUUUUUAGUAAACAUCCAUGCCGCACAUGACUGUGUUGGAAACACACAUUUUUUUUUAAUUGCUCGUACGCUCACAUGAGCAUGUAAUUUGCAAUAAUUUCGACAUGGCAACCUCACUGGGUUUAUAAACCACCUUCAAAUACCGAAAAAUAUUGAUAUUUUGCAAAAAUGUGAGCGUACGAGCAAUUUUAAAAAAUGUGUGUUUCCAACACAGUCCCUGUGUGGCAUGGUGUUACUCAAAAAUGAGAGUUUUUAUUUUAGAGAGUAUUUUUUUAUUCAUUUCAAAAGAAAACAAAUGAGGGGGUUAGAAGCAAAGGGGUGUAAGUGAUAAAAACCCACUUUCGAGUAAAUGAGGUCUAAAGUUUUUGACCAAUUUUUCAUCCCAUACAAAAUGUAUGGGAUUUUAAAUUAAACCCAAUUUUCGCUGAUUUAUUGUAUUUUUUCCAAUCAUCAUAGAAACAAUCUUAAAAAAGUUCCUGAAAGCUUGAAAUCUGAAGAAUUUUAUGAUAUGCUCAGCUCAAAAUCGACAAAAUGGUCACUUACACACUUAAUUUAUUUCGCUGAAUCUCGGUAAUUUUUCUUGCUUUUUACCGAGAUUGGCACCGCCGAGCACUCAGCAAACUUGUUUUUCAACGGGAUCUCAGCAAUCAUGAUGUUUGUUUGCUGAGAUUCAGGAAAUGUUUUGCCGAAAUUCAGCUAACAAACGUAAUUUUCAACCGAGAUUCAGCAUAAAUAUUUGCUGAGCCACGGCGGUGCCGGCGUUUGCCGAGCUCAUCUUAGUGUGUACACCCCUUUGAUUCUGGGCCCCUCAAAUAAGAAAAAAAUAAGCCGAGAUUCAGCAAAUCCAUUUAUGCUGGCAAAUGAUUUUGCCGAGCUUCAGCAAAUGUAUUUGCUGAGAAUCUCGGUAAAAUAUCACUAGCUGUCAAUUUUGUGAUUGCCGAAGUCCCGGCAAAUUCAAUUUUUGCCGAGCUGUUUGCCGAGCAGUCGGCGGUGCCAAUCUCGGCAAUUGGUUUGCUGAGAUUCGGCGAAAAAAACUAAGUGUGAGAGUAUAUUACAGGUGAGGAAGAAGAAGAGAUGGCUAUGUAUUAGUAACCAAAGAAAAAUGUAAACACAAAUAGUGACGUCACUAUUUGACACGCGUUCUUAUGGGAGCUCGCUUUGCUUGUAGUAGUGACAUGUUUUGCACCAGACACGGAUCUCACGCACACGAAGUAUCUUCUUCCCCACCUCUAUUAGACUCUCAUUGCACACUACUCAUUUGGACCAUGCUGCGGAUUGGUAAAAUGCUAAGCUGGUGAAGAUUCUACACAGUUAAACGCAUGGGAGUCCAUGUACUUCGCCACAGCGAUUGCCCCGAUACAAUCACCACUCUUCAACCUGACAAAGCUGAGAAUUCAGUAGAACAACGACAUUUUCGACGAGUACUGUGCGCACUGGCAAGUACAAUACACUAUGCCCAGGGAGCCGAGAAAAUUUUCCCGACUGGAACUGCGACGAUGCAUCAAUGUGACAAUGCACCAAUGCAACGAUGAAACAAUACAAUGAGUUGUAUAGCUUUCAUACUGUGUGAAACAUUUCAAUGAAACAUUUCAAAGCGUGACGGAAGGACAGACAACUCUGGGAUUUUAUAUAUAUAAUAAUUAGCACUUUAUAACUAGUAGUCCUACAUUAUAGAGAUGUGUGGAGGCGGCCAUUGUGAGCCAAAUGAACAUGUUUAUUGUUUGUAGGAAGGCGUUGUUUGAACGGUAUUGCAAUCGUCUAUAAUCGUAUUACAAAUACUUAUUUUUAUUAUCGAGAAUUUGAUGGCAUACGUAAAUUUUGUGAGAAGAUAAUAUUAAGGACAGACUUGUUAGAAUCCCAAAAUGGCCGCCACAAUGGCCGACUUUGGCACCUACUCACGAUUUUGAGGGCACAAAUCUUUUCGUAAACAAAACCAGCGCACCUGAUCUUCUUAUUUUAAGCAUAUUACGAGUGAGCAAGAACAGAAUAAUGAAAUGCAUUGUUGUGUGAAGCUUGCUUUUUGAGAUUUGUGCAUAUGAAGUUGUGAUGCACUGUUGAAGCGGGAUUUCAAGACGUUUGUCCUUAAAUCAAUAAAACAGCGUAACAAAAAUUAACUUUUAGUCUGUCUCAAGAGCAAACAUAUGUGUCUCUGACAGAUUUUGGGCCGCUGAAUCGGAAUCCGGGCUCAGAUUUGCUCCAACACGUCACAAUUUUGAGCUAUACCUUAAUUUAUUGGGCAAAAUAUGUGAUUUUGGGCUUUUUUGACUGCAAACCAUUAGGCAUGGAAAUAUUUUUUUUAACCAAUCAAAGGAUAAAUUGGUCAAUUUACAUGUAAAUUAACGACUCAUGCAAAAUAUUUCGUUUUACCAAAUCGAAUUUGAUAGUUUUAAGCGAUUCAUGUUAGGUACUAUAUUUCUCAUACUAGUCACCCUCCAAAAGUUGCAUGCAAGUUUACACACUGACAUAAAAUGCUUAAAUCUAUCAAAUUUGAUUUGGUAAAACGAAAUAUUUUGCAUGAGUCGUUCAUUUAGAUGUUAAUGGACCAGUUAAUCCUUUGAUUGCUUAAAAAUUAUAUUUCCAUGCUUAAUGACUGGCAAUCAAAAAAGCCCAAAAUCGCAUAUUUUGCCCUAUAAAUUGAGGUAUAGCUCAAAAUUGUGACGUGCUGGAGCAAAUCUGCUGCUGCUUGAUUCACUUCUGCCGAUGUGAUUUGCGUUAUUCUUUGCAAUGCAUUUCAGAUUUCUUCGAUUGCGCUGUUAUCUUUUUCAAAAUUUGGGGGAAAAAAGUUCGAAUAUAAUAGCAAAAUAAUAACAAAACAACUUGCACCACAACAAAGUCACGCAAAAAGUUAGAACAUCUAGCUUUGAGCAUCUACCCAGAUGAAAAUUUGUUUAAUUUAUUUCAUCUAGUUUUGGUGAUAAAGUUGCAAAAAUAUGGGCUAGUGCAUUAACUAUAUGCUUAUGCAUCACUUUAAACAAAACGUCAUGCAAGAAAUCAAAGAAAAAAUUAUCAAAAAUUAUCUCUGAGUAGAAGUUGUUGAGAGUCGACCCCGCUGUGCUGUCAAAAAUUUUCAGGCUCAGUGAACUCAAUGUUAAUCGGUGCAGUCACAGAGAACAAUAGAGAUAAUAAACUAUAGAGGAAGAAUGUCGCUGGCGUCGCUGCCGAAACAUCGUUUGCUGGCGGGGAUAGGCAGGGACAUACACUACCCGUCAAAAGUACGGACUCACAAAAAGUAUUGCAACAAUAUUGCAUCACCCUGACUCACCUCGAUAUAUCAAAAACCUGAAGACUUACAAAGAUGCUGUCUUCAGCAAAGUUACUCAGAAGCCCAAGAGCUACAACUUUUCUGAAGGCGGCGUUUUUGUAGGUGUUCUGGUUUUAGAGAUAUCGAGGUGAAUCAGAGUGAUGCAAUAUUGUUGCAAUACUUUUUCUGAGUCCGUACUUAUGACGGGUAGUGUAAGUGUCAAAGCCAAAAAGUAUGCAGUUUGACAGAUAGGUACCCGGGAUGUUCACGAACGAGAACAAAGGGAACAGCAGCGACAUUCGUUCUCUAUAGUUUCUUAACUCUAUUCAGAGAACAGACAAGUCCAGUUCCGAAACUGUGUAAGGAAAUUAACGGCCAUUUAAAAUCGGCAACACAAGUGGCAACAUCGGUUAAUUUCAAGCAUAUUUCAGUUACCUUAACAGAUUUUGUUGUCGGUUGAGAAUCAUAGGUACGGUUAGUAAUUUACUAUGGAAUCGGUAGUUUUCACGACAAAAUUUAUUUCAGUGUGCCAGCAGUGAAAAUUGAAUACAAUUACUUUUGAAGCAUCUAGUUUCCAGCGCUGACAUCCCGAUGGCGACA